rnacentral:rRNA from 1 species
AUGCACGCUGGCGGCGUGCCUAACACAUGCAAGUCGAACGGAGUCCAGCCUUAGAGACCUUCGGGUCAAAGAGGGGAAGACUGAGUGGCGGACGGGUGAGUAACACGUGGGCAACCUGGCUCAUAGAGGGGGAUAACAGAGAGAAAUUUCUGCUAAUACCGCAUAAGCACACACUGCCGCAUGGCAGAGUGUGAAAAGAGAAUCGCUAUGAGAUGGACCCGCGUCUGAUUAGCCAGUUGGCAGGGUAAGAGCCUACCAAAGCGACGAUCAGUAGCCGAUUUGAGAGGAUGAACGGCCACAUUGGGACUGAGACACGGCCCAAACUCCUACGGGAGGCAGCAGUGGGGGAUAUUGCACAAUGGGGGGAACCCUGAUGCAGCGACGCCGCGUGAGUGAAGAAGUAUUUCGGUAUGUAAAGCUCUAUCAGCAGGGAAGAUAAUGACAGUACCUGAAUAAGAAGCCCCGGCUAACUACGUG